CUUCACCGAACCCAGCCACAAAGGCUCCGCACGGUCCGCGCCAUAGGUGUUGAUCAAAGCCUGAGCCUC
rnacentral:antisense_RNA from 1 species